GAUGAACGCUAGCGAUAGGCCUAACACAUGCAAGUCGAGGGGCAGCACAUGAAGUAGCAAUACGGAUGGUGGCGACCGGCGCACGGGUGAGUAACGCGUAUGCAACCUGCCUACAACAGGGGAAUAACCCGUUGAAAGACGGACUAAUACCCCAUAACACAGGGAUCCCGCAUGGGAAUAUUUGUUAAAGAUUUAUCGGUUGUAGAUGGGCAUGCGUUCCAUUAGCUUGUUGGUGAGGUAACGGCUCACCAAGGCAACGAUGGAUAGGGGAACUGAGAGGUUUAUCCCCCACACUGGUACUGAGACACGGACCAGACUCCUACGGGAGGCAGCAGUGAGGAAUAUUGGUCAAUGGACGCAAGUCUGAACCAGCCACGUCGCGUGAAGGAAGACGGCCCUACGGGUUGUAAACUUCUUUUGUAAGGGAAUAAAGUGUAGUACGUGUACUAUUUUGCAUGUACCUUACGAAUAAGGAUCGGCUAACUCCGUGCCAGCAGCCGCGGUAAUACGGAGGAUCCGAGCGUUAUCCGGAUUUAUUGGGUUUAAAGGGUGCGCAGGCGGGAGAUUAAGUCGGCGGUGAAAUUUUGCAGCUCAACUGUAAAAGUGCCUUCGAAACUGGUUUCCUUGAGUGUGGAUGAAGUAGGCGGAAUUUGUGGUGUAGCGGUGAAAUGCAUAGAUAUCACGAGGAACUCCGAUUGCGCAGGCAGCUUACUAAACCAUAACUGACGCUCACGCACGAAAGCGUGGGGAUCAAACA
rnacentral:rRNA from 1 species